rnacentral:rRNA from 1 species
UACGGAGGGGGCUAGCGUUGUUCGGAAUUACUGGGCGUAAAGCGCACGUAGGCGGCUUUGUAAGUUAGAGGUGAAAGCCCGGGGCUCAACUCCGGAAUUGCCUUUAAGACUGCAUCGCUAGAAUUGUGGAGAGGUGAGUGGAAUUCCGAGUGUAGAGGUGAAAUUCGUAGAUAUUCGGAAGAACACCAGUGGCGAAGGCGGCUCACUGGACCGGUAUUGACGCUGAGGUGCGAAAGCGUGGGGAGCAAACAGG